rnacentral:rRNA from 1 species
GACGAACGCUGGCGGCGUGCUUAACACAUGCAAGUCGAACGCUGAAGCCCUUUCGGGGGUGGAUGAGUGGCGAACGGGUGAGUAACACGUGGGUAAUCUGCCCUGCACUCUGGGAUAAGCCUUGGAAACGGGGUCUAAUACCGGAUAGGACACAUCGCCGCAUGGUGUGUGUGUGGAGAGUUCCGGCGGUGCAGGUUGAGCCCGCGGCCUAUCAGCUGGUUGGGGGGGUGAUGGCCUACCAAGGCGACGACGGGUAGCCGGCCUGAGAGGGUGACCGGCAGCACUGGGACUGGGACAGGGCCCAGGCUCAUACGGGAGGCAGCAGGGGGGAAUCGUGCGCAAUGGGCGAAAGCCUGACGGAGCAGCGCCGCGUGGGGGAUGACGGCCUUCGGGUUGUAAACCUCUUUCGACCGGGACGGAGGGUGACUGACGGUACCGGUAGAAGAAGCACCGGCUAACUACGUGCCAGCCGCCGCGGUAA